GUGGUGCAGUUGGUAGCACUGUUGCCUUGGAGCAAGAAGGUUCUGGGUUCGAUUCCCAGC
rnacentral:tRNA from 1 species